UAGGGAAUCUUCCGCAAUGGGCGAAAGCUUGACGGAGCAACGCCGCGUGAGUGAUGAAGGUCUUCGGAUCGUAAAACUCUGUUAUUAGGGAAGAACAAAUGUGUAAGUAACUAUGCACGUCUUGACGGUACCUAAUCAGAAAGCCACGGCUAACUGCGUGCCAGCAGCCGCGGUAAUACGUAGGUGGCAAGCGUUAUCCGGAAUUAUUGGGCGUAAAGCGCGCGUAGGCGGUUUUUUAAGUCUGAUGUGAAAGCCCACGGCUCAACCGUGGAGGGUCAUUGGAAACUGGAAAACUUGAGUGCAGAAGAGGAAAGUGGAAUUCCAUGUGUAGCGGUGAAAUGCGCAGAGAUAUGGAGGAACACCAGUGGCGAAGGCGACUUUCUGGUCUGUAACUGACGCUGAUGUGCGAAAGCGUGGGGAUCAAACAGG
rnacentral:rRNA from 1 species